rnacentral:rRNA from 1 species
UUCGCCCUUAGAGUUUGAUCCUGGCUCAGGACGAACGCUGGCGGCGCGCCUAACACAUGCAAGUCGAACGGAGAUAAAGAUUUCGGUUUUUAUCUUAGUGGCGCACGGGUGAGUAACACGUGAAUAACCUGACCCAAAGAGGGGGAUAACACCUGGAAACAGGUGCUAAUACCGCAUAAGACCACAAUGUCGCAUGACGAAGGGGUCAAAGAAAAUCGCUUUGGGAGGGGUUCGCGUCCCAUUAGGUAGUAGGCGGGGUAACGGCCCACCUAGCCGACGAUGGGUAGCCGAGCUGAGAGGCUGAUCGGCCACACUGGAACUGAGACUCGGUCCAGACUCCUACGGGAGGCAGCAGUGGGGAAUAUUGGGCAAUGGGCGCAAGCCUGACCCAGCAACGCCGCGUGAGGGAAGAAGGUUUUCGGAUUGUAAACCUCUGUCGCAGAAGACGAAGGAAGUGACGGUAUUCUGUGAGGAAGCCCCGGCUAACUACGUGCCAGCAGCCGCGGUAAUACGUAGGGGGCGAGCGUUGUCCGGAAUUACUGGGCGUAAAGGGAGCGUAGGCGGUCUGAUAAGUUGGAUGUGAAAUACCCGGGCUUAACUUGGGGGGUGCAUCCAAUACUGUUGGACUAGAGUACAGGAGAGGAAAGCGGAAUUCCUAGUGUAGCGGUGAAAUGCAUAGAUAUUAGGAGGAACAUCGGUGGCGAAGGCGGCUUUCUGGACUGCAACUGACGCUGAGGCUCGAAAGCGUGGGGAGCAAACAGGAUUAGAUACCCUGGUAGUCCACGCUGUAAACGAUGAAUAUUAGGUGUAGGGGGUAGAAACUCCCUCUGUGCCGCAGCAAACGCAAUAAGUAUUCCGCCUGGGGAGUAUGGCCGCAAGGUUGAAACUCAAAGGAAUUAACGGGGGCCCGCACACAGCAGCGGAGCAUGUGGUUUAAUUCUUCACAACGAGAAGAACCUUACCAAGGCUUGACAUCCACUUAAAGUUAUGGAAACAUAAUGUCCUUUCGUGGGAAGUGAGACAGGUGGUGCAUGGUUGUCGUCAGCUCGUGUCGUGAGAUGUUGGGUUAAGUCCUGCAACGAGCGCAACCCCUGUUGCCAGUUGCCAGCAAGUAAAGUUGGGGACUCUGGUGAGACUGCCGGGGACAACUCGGAGGAAGGUGGGGAGGACGUCAAAUCAUCAUGCCCCUUAUGUCUUGGGGUACACACGUGCUACAAUGGCUGUAACAAAGGGAAGGGACCUUGUAAGAGGAAGCGGAUCUCAGAAAAGCAGUCCCAGUUCGGAUUGUGGGCUGCAACCCGCCCACAUGAAGUCGGAGUUGCUAGUAAUCGCGGAUCAGCAUGCCGCGGUGAAUACGUUCCCGGGCCUUGCACACACCGCCCGUCA